UCCCUGGUGGUCUAGUGGCUAGGACUCUUGGUUUUUACCCAGGUUCCCCAGGUUUAAUUCCUGGGCAGGGAA
rfam:Ovis aries breed Texel Tnplaced_Contig2991_fixed, whole genome shotgun sequence.